GACGGAGGGGGCUAGCGUUGUUCGGAAUUACUGGGCGUAAAGCGCACGUAGGCGGCCCAUCAAGUCAGAUGUGAAAGCCCCGAGCUUAACUCGGGAACUGCAUUUGAUACUGUUGGGCUUGAGACCGGGAGAGGAUAGCGGAAUUCCCAGUGUAGAGGUGAAAUUCGUAGAUAUUGGGAAGAACACCAGUGGCGAAGGCGGCUAUCUGGACCGGUACUGACGCUGAGGUGCGAAAGCGUGGGGAGCAAACAGG
rnacentral:rRNA from 1 species